UGAACUGAUCCCUUUAACUAAAGUCAGUUCUGUGAUGACAUCAUCGCAUGGGAAGUGACAUCAUUUUGGAGGGAAAGCACCAGCACCAGCAUUAACGCUGUUGAUAGAGCUUAACUCAUCCUGAAGCCGGAACAUUCCCGUAGCAGCAGAAGUGCUGGAAUGCCACAUGGUUUUAAUGCCCCACCCAGCGCUGGAAGGAUGACAUGCAGUGCCCCGACCCCCCGCCUCCGGAGCUUGAAAGUCUCAGUCUCUGUUCUUUGCAACUGUAAAGAGCAUCCAGCAC